GUGAAUCAUCGAAUUUUUGAACGCAAAUUGCACUCUCUUCGGAGAGUAUGCCUGUUUGAGGGUCAGCCUAAAAAAAAAAAAUCGACAUAUUCGCUGUUUCGCGGUGACAUUUGUCGGAAAUUGUUUUAUUUUAAACCUUUGGGUUUUAAUUGGCUUAAUUUUUUCUUUACGAUUUCACGAACGUUUAU
rnacentral:misc_RNA from 1 species